GGGGAUGACGGGCUUCGAGGGAGCAUCGCCGGCCAUCGGUGCGAGCCGAGGGUGAUGGGCAAACCUCGCAAAUCCGCCUAUCACACAAAAAGUGCAAAACCUGCACCUCAACUCGCCUACGCCUAACAGGCGAUAGGCCAUCUGCGUCGGGACGCCCGUGACCGACGACGGGUGUGAUAUCCGGGCUUGCCGCGUAUCGCCUCCUCUCCGCUACGCGGGACGAACCGAGAGGAUAGGACCGCAGGAUUUCGUCCGUUCCCGACUGCGGCACCGAACACUCAAGCGGACUACGCUCGUAGUACCGAAGUCGUCGUCGCCCCCCAUGUGGGUUCAACUCCCACCAUCUCCACAA
rnacentral:tmRNA from 2 species